ACCGGAGUAGCUCAGCUGGUUAGAGCGUCGGAAUCAUAAUCCGUAGGUCGGGGGUUCAAGUCCCUCCUCCGGUA
rnacentral:tRNA from 5 species